CCUACGGGGAGCAGCAGUGAGGAAUAUUGGUCAAUGGGCGGAAGCCUGAACCAGCCAAGUAGCGUGCGGGAUGAAGGCCCUACGGGUCGUAAACCGCUUUUGCACGGGGAUAACACCCUCCACUUGUUGAGGUCUGCAGGUACCGUGCGAAUAAGGGCCGGCUAAUUCCGUGCCAGCAGCCGCGGUAAUACGGAAGGCCCGAGCGUUAUCCGGAUUCAUUGGGCUUAGAGGGAGCGUAGGCGGGCGUUGAAGUCAGCUGUAAAAUCGCGCGGCUCAACCGCGCCCCGCAGUUGAAACUGGAUGCCUUGAGUUCACAACAGGCAGGCGGAAUUCGUGGUGUAGCGGUGAAAUGCAUAGAUAUCACGAGGAACCCCGAUUGCGAAGGCAGCCUGCCGGGGUGCGACUGACGCUGAGGCUCGAAGGUGCGGGUAUCAAACAGGAUUAGAUACCCGGGUAGUC
rnacentral:rRNA from 1 species